CCCUUUGCCACAAUCCUAUCAAAAAGCUCCCCACCUGCACACAGCUCCAUGACCAAGUGCACAAACAUGGAAUCCUCAUAGGUUCCCUUGAUUUGCACCACAUUUGGGUGCUCAGAGAGAUGGUGCAUGAUCUGGAUCUCCCUCCAAACAUCCUCAUAGUCUUCUUUGCAGAGAAGCUUUCUCUUUGGGAUUGAUUUGCAGGCAUAUUGUUUGUUUGAGGCCUUGUCGGUACACAGAUAUGUAGUGCCAAAUUGACCUUGGCCUAUUUUCUUACCUAUCAAGUAGUGGUCCCUCAGUCUUGAGGUUUGAUAUGGAAGAACUGUUUUUGCAGGCUUUCUUGUUGAUGAUGAUGACGAUACAGUUUGCUUCUUCAUCGCUGCAAUAAUUAUCUCAGAUGAUUUCUGGAGUUGAUCUAACUCUUUCUCUCCUCCCUUUCUCAAGGAUCUGCCAUUUUUUCAGCUUUUUCUUUUUUUUCUUCUUAUUUUAGUUAAUAAC
rnacentral:misc_RNA from 1 species